ensembl:snoRNA small nucleolar RNA SNORA31
AUGCAUCUGUUUGACAGACCUGGAGCAAACUGCCAUUGCUCUUCUGGUUCUUGCUGAGAUGCAACAGUAGCCAGUUCCUUGCGCUUUCUGUCUGUCCAACCUCAUGGCAGUUUGGAUUGAAUAAAGGAGCACAAAU